rnacentral:rRNA from 1 species
CCUACGGGUGGCAGCAGUCGAGAAUCAUUCACAAUGGGGGAAACCCUGAUGGUGCGACGCCGCGUGGGGGAAUGAAGGUCUUCGGAUUGUAAACCCCUGUCAUGUGGGAGCAAAUAAAAAAGAUAGUACCACAAGAGGAAGAGACGGCUAACUCUAGGCCAGCAGCCGCGGGAAUACAGAGGUCUCAAGCGUUGUUCGGAACCACUGGGUGUAAAGCGUGCGUAGGCUGUUGCGUAAGUCGUGAGUGAAAGGCGCAGGCUCAACCCGCGGACGGCACAUGAUACUGCGAGACUAGAGUAAGGGAGGGGUAACAGGAAUUCCCGGUGUAGCAGUGAAAUGCGUAGAUAUCGGGAGGAACACUCGUGGCGAAGGCGUGUUCCUGGACAUUAACUGACGCUGAGGCACGAAGGCCAGGGGAGCGAAAGGGAUUAGAUACCCCGGUAGUC